rnacentral:tRNA from 1 species
AAAUAAGUUUGAAACAAUAAAAAUUUCUAAUUUUUAUAUUUAUGGUUUAAAUCCAUUUUUAUUUU